CCAGGGGCUGUCUGCCACCUUCACCAGCCCUGGGCCUGCCACCUUCAUCAGUCCUGGGCCUGCCUGCCACCUUCAUCACCUCUGGGCCUGCCACCUUCAUCAGUCCUGGGCCUGCCACCUUCACUAGCCCAGGGCCUGCCUGCCACCUUCACCAGCCCCAGGGCUGUCUGCCACCUUCACUAGCCCAGGGCCUGCCUGCCACCUUCACCAGCCCCGGGGCUGCCUGCCACCUUCACCAGCCCCGGGGCUGUCUGCCACCUUCAUCAGCCCCAGGGCUGUCUGCCACCUUCAUCACCUCUGGGCCUGCCACCUUCACCAGCCUCUCAAUGGCUGCUGUGGGAAGGAUCUCUCUGGUUUUGGUGACCAUUACACAGCCAAAUGGGAAUCUCAUUCAGCUGGGAGCUCCUGGCCAGGCUGUGAAAGCAGCACAAGGGACUUGGCUCUGAAAGGAGGUUCAGAGCAGCUGUGUGAUGACAAGUCACUUCUGCUUGGCACCUGUGCCCAUCUGCUCUUCUCCCUCAUCCAGGCACCCGUGCCCACCUGCCCUGGGAUGAGCUUUCCAUCAGUCCUCUUCUGAGCAGUCUUCAGAGUUCUGGGUUUUCAUGACUGUGUCAUUAAGAGGAAGAA